ensembl:lncRNA
AUUCAUCUUAUCCUGAUAAACCAGAGAUACAUAGAAAAAAUAACCAAAAUAUGAUUCCCAGAGAUUAAGGAAGGGAUUGAUUUUAUAAUCUUUGAUUUAUAAACUGCCAACUAUUUAUAUCACAGUUGCUGAAAAAUUAGUAUGUAGUUGUGAAAGGAUUUUCUGUCACCACUGUUGGAGGGCCUACAGAUGAGGAUGUAAUCAAGACAUGAGGACCUGAUCCCUAAAGAAAAAAGAUGUUUUGUCUGUGUAGAUUGGACCUAGGAUCUGUCUUCGUCAUUAAUGCUAGGCAGAUGGUGACACCCUAGGAAAUAAGACCCUUGAACCAUAUGUGUCAAGGUACCUUUAAACACAGUAAAACCCAUCAUUACUUACUCCAUGUGCCAUACUUCUAUAUUACUGGCUGACACGUUCCAUUAUGGCUAAUGAAUUUACUCUCUACAGAUGUAGUGUUUGUGCCUUUGUUGAACCAGAUGUUCCUGAACCAGAGGUCAUUUGUGGGAAUUGGGGUAUCACUCUGUUUUUGAGCUGCAGUUUAAUAAAUCAGCUCUGCUGAAGUCUUAGACACUAGGAAAUUGAAUAAACUGUUUUUGAUGUUAGAGGAAAAGGAAAUCUCUGCUAGUUGUUCUACUUAUUGUGUUUUUCCAUCAAACAAGCCAUGUAUCAUGAAUUAUGUCACUUUAAGAGUUGCUCUGAUACCUUUGUAAUGGAGAAAAAGGUAAAUCAGAGUCUAUGGCAACAUUAUUUCUCUGUUGACUGAUAGCCCAAGAAAUUCAGGUGUAGUUUUAGGUGCCCUCCCCAUUUGCUGGAAUGCCCCAAUCUUUUAAACAGAAAGAGAGUAGAUUUAGUGUUAAGUUCUCAUUUAAUAAUUUGGCACAGGCAAAGAAAUGGAAAAGUAAUUCUAAGUCUGCGAUGUGUCUCACUGCAUUUUCAAGUGCCAAUGAAAAUUUUAGCCAUGCCUCUUUUUAAUGAGAGUAUUAAUGAAAACAGUUUGAGUGCAUCUUCAACAAGUUCUUUGAAAUAGGAAUGUGCCUCUGAUGUGCAUAUUCUUAGAGGAUCUUGAAACUUAUCUUGCCGUAAAUAUCAAAGUUCUCUAAUGAGACUUUGAAGAGGUAGGAGAUGAUGAUAAACCGAGAAUGAGUUGGCAGUUUCAGAAACAGGAAAAUGUAAAACUCUAAGGUACAAUUGCUAGUUAUUCAUAACGGCCAUCUCAUUUCCUUUCUGGUACUUGCAGAAGUCAGUUGGUCCCUUUUCUACAUGAACUAACGUAAAAAAAUAUCAACAUCAAAUGAAUUAAGAUUGUUAUUUUAUAAGCCAUAUGGUCAAGUAGAAUCUGAAAAUAAAGGCUGAUGAUUAAAUCACUUAGUGAGGGUCUGUACAGGAGGCGGUGUGUUAUUUUACAGGAAAUCAGACUAGAUAAUCAUAAUAAUACUUCUGGCCUCAAAAUACACAAAUCUGUCCAAUUAAUAUUUUUUUUUACCAAGUUUGAUGAAGUAACUGGUGGUUGCUUUGAACUCUCAAACUGAGAAUAGAUCUUAGUCAUGUUUUAAAUUGAAUGGAAAUAGCUCUUUUAUAUAUCUUAGUACAAUGACAAAACUAGUUUUCUUCAUUUAAGAGCAAAUAGGCUCUUAUUUGUUUAGUUCAAAGAUAGGGUUUGUUUUUUUUUUUAAUUUCGCAAAGCAACAAUUACAAUCCUUUUCUUCUAUAAGUGAAAAGCAGUGCUGUGAAUAUGACAUAAAACUUUUCUCUUUCUUUCCCUUCAUGAGAGUGUGCAUAGUUAUACAGAUCAAACAGGAUCUAAGAAUAAAGAUGACUUUUUUAUGGCAUUUCCAGAUGAAUACUUACAUACACCCGUUUAAGACAUUUUUUUUCAUUACCACCAAACUACUUGUCCAAGAUCACAGUCAUGAACAAGAUCACAAGACUUCAGCUACCAUUUAAUUCAUUCAUUUUCCUUCUGGGACUUCAUCCAGUUUGCCUUAAAUAAUGCUACUCAGGAAUUGGCCUGCUUCAUCUAUACAUAUGAAUCAAAUGGGAACUGGAGUGGUAUGUCUGUGAUCUUGCAAUAGUAUCUUAACGGUGGUGACUAAAAGAAGAAAAAGAAAAUCAGAAGACAGCAAAGGUACUGCGUUUCUUAAAUAUUUAUUUGAACCCUUAUCUAAAAUAUGAUUUUUCAGAGCAUAAAUGUCCUUGAAGCACGUUUGAUCUUAGAUAUUUUAUUGUUCUGGAUGCUAACCCUGACACAUAAUAUUGUCCUUUAAAAAACAGACUCUUCUCGGAAAAUAUUGUCUUGCAUUUAAUUUAAAGUUAUAUAUGUCUGUUAGGUUACUAGAAUGUUAGCUCUGUUUAAGUCUUUGAACAGAAUCUUGAACACUGAAAUAUGUGAUAAAUUCUUUCUUUACAAUUUGUCCUAAAAAGUAUCUAUAGAUUUCAGCAAGCUUAGCCAAGAAUUAUUGUUGAGAAAUACUGUUGUUGUAGAAUUGCUCAGCCCCGUCUUUUUAGGGUAGGAAUACAUAUCUGAAACAAAAAUUAUUAAAUUUACAUUCCAUUUUUCUAGCUCUUUUCAUUUGGGUUAGAGUCCAAAUAGCUUCAAAAAUGUUUCUAAUGAGAUUUUGAAUUUCUUGUAACAGUGCCACUGGGAACUCCACUGUCUGAGAAUUUGCUGGAAUAUAGCUCUUUCUUGAUUUCAAAUAAUUCUUUAGAAACAUUAAGGAUCUCAAAUUUCAGUUCAAGUAGUAACAUUCUCAAAUAUGACUGUAAAACUGAAAUUUUAUUUUAUCUGACUGUGGUAGCAUGUAGUUGUAAAGUAAACCUUUUGCAAUAAUCAGAAUUUAAUACCAUGUGAUUAGGAAUUUAAUCAGACCAAAUUGUAUUUAAUAUCAAUAGUAUAUUUUAUGCUCCAACUUAAAGAUGUAAUGGGCUGAUAUCAAGUUUAAUAGUACUGUUGCCAUGAAGCUAAUAUUGACAGAAACCAGUGUCUCUGUUAAGCUUUGAAAGCAGUAUUUACUAUUACUUGUAAAAUGACUGCAAACAUAACUACCUGAAAUACAGUUCAAUGCAUUUGGAAUUUGUGUUAAACUUUAACUUAACUUUACUUGUGUAAAAUUUAACAUGCAUGGUUAGGUAUUAGACCUCUUGCAGUACUUCCAGAAUUGCCACGGUUUCUUUUGAAUUUCCAGCUACUACUUGUUGUCCUUUGUUUUGUUGCAUUUAUAAUUACUCAGGAGUAUUUAGAUGUAUGUUUUGAUAUCCCACUUAAAGAGGAAUUUCUAAUGAUUGUAAAUAUGACAAUACCUUGAGUAGAGAGUUUGUGUAUGACUGCAGGAAUUUAGUUGAAGAAUAGGUGGGAGUUGGUGGAAGCCCAAAGGGAUGAAAAGAGAGACAGAGUGGCUGUGUCCCCUUGCAUGUUGCAUCUUCUACUAAAUUUCUGGGUGUAUUGAAGUUUUCCUUGCUACAACUGAAAACUUGGUUCUGAUGCUGCUGAAAUAUUUUCUUAUAGCCAGAUAAAGAAUGAGGAAAAUUAUAUUAUUCAAAUUUAUCAAAUUGAAAAUAUCCUCACUUUGUCAUGCUGGUUUGUUUGUUUGUUUGUUUGUUUUCAUCAUCAUCAGUAAUCAAAUCCAGAGUGAAGCAUGUUGCUUUUUGAGCAGACCUCAGGUUAGCUCUGUGGUCCUGCAUGCUUGUGAUAUUUUUCCCCCCCAGCUCUGGCUUUUCUAUCAUUCUGGUAACCAAGUGCUUAAAAUUGCAUGGGAGAGACAUAUGGAAAUAACUUUUCUUUGCUCUAGCUUUGACACAGUGAGUAACUCAGGUCUCAGUCAGUACAACUGCAUUAAAUUGUAUGUAUAUGUAUGCAUUCAGAGCAGUUAAUUCUGUGCUUAGUAACUAUGAAGUCUGACUGCAAAUUACAGAAGUUUUUCAAUUUGAACUCAACUCCAGCUUAUACUUUUGUAAUUCCUUUUGGGCCUGCAUGGUUAGCCAGUAGUGAGGUGUUUACUAGGAUGAUCAGAAAAUACACUACUUAUUUACUACUGUACCUUUCAGUUACAUCAAAUGUCAUAAAAGAUUUUAUUUUCUGAAGGAUCAGAGCAAGAAAAGGUUUUUUUUCCCAUGUCACUUUCUAGAUGUUUUUUUCCCCCAUAUCACUGUUCUUUAUAUUUUUUUCCAGAUGGAAAAGACAUACUCAAACAUUAUUCACACAUGGCUUUUUUGGGAAUUUAUGUGGUUGCUGUUUCGUCAUGUGUCAAGUGAGCUUCGCCUCUCCUGGCGAUGAUGACCUCUUUUGCAACAACCAGAAAGAGACACUGGAACAAGUCUUCUUUUGAGGGGUGUUUGCAGUGAAUGGCUUCCUGUCCUUCAGCAGUGUGCAUUGCAUUGGGUGCAGGUAUCAGUGUUUUUGAUAGGGGUGGCCUUUGUGAGGAGAGGCCCUGUGCUGGUUGCAUCCAGCUUCAAGGCUCCACUGCACCCGUGAGCCCAGCAGCCAAGAUGAUGGCACCUCUGGGUAAGCAUUUAAGGCUGAAAGCACAGUGGAGGCAGAGUGGAAAAAAAUGCAACAGAAGGAGUACCAAGGCCAGUGGGGAAGGGGGAAGAGGUGCUCCAGGCAGCCGGUGAACCUGUCCAAAGGGUCAUUGUGGAGCAGCUGGGUACGUCCUGACAGCAGCUGUGGCUUGUGGAGAGCCCUCAUAAGGGAAAGUGUAAGGAAGAGGGAGAGGCAAAACUACUGUGCUGCUGGGGAGAAGAAUCAGAGGAACUGGGAGUGAAAGAGUGAAGUUGGGCCUGAAAAGUGAGGGUGUGAAGGAAAGUGUUAUAAUUUUGUCUUUGCUUCUCACUAUCUUAACCUAUUUUAUUUGCCAAUAAAUUGAAUUAAAUUAAAUUGAGUAAAGGGAAAGCUCACUCCAACAACAACAACAACAAAAAAAAAACCGAUGUAUUUAAAUAAAUACUCUUCUUUGAGUCUGAUAUCUUCACUAAGAUUUCUAGACAUUAACAAUUCUGCUGAUUUUGAUGGUGAACUGAAAAAAAUAUUUGCUGUUAGACAUAACUGAUAUUCACCGUCCUUCCAGAGUUCAUUUAUGCUGCGUCCGCUUUGAGUGACCUCAUACUCAAUGAUGUUCUGUGCUAGAAGAAACUUCCUCAGGUCUUAUAAAUGGCAUCUGCAUUUACUCAAAAAGAAACACUGCUUCAGAAUUUCAUACACAGAUAAUGUACUCAAAAAUCUUCACCAUAGACAAACAGGACCCAAACUCCUGAGGUGUUGAACAUUUCUGAUGAGGAAUCGGGUACUGUGACUGCAAAGUAUACUCCAAACCAGCUGAGACAAUAUUCGAUGCAGUAUGCUAAGUGUGGAAUACUCUGUGCAGAAGGAAAUGCCUUACCUUUUCCUUGAGUACUUGGCCUUGGAUUUAAGAAGAACAGCACAAAAAAGGAAACCCUUGAAAAGUGCUGCAAUUCCAGCUUUUUUUCUAACUCUGCCAGCAUAUUGCAAGAAGGAAGAAGUGGAAUAUCAGGAGCUCAGACUCAGUGCAGAGAACAGUGGCUCAGAUCCUUGCAGGCAUCUGACACGUAGGUAUCAUGGAUUUCACUAAGAGCUUGGUCUAUCUUCAUUUGAACAAGAAAGCCUUUACUACUUAAGCCUUAUGAAUAUUUACUUUAAAGAUAUGGGUUUUUUCCUGUUUAUUAUGUGUGAUGAAGCAAAUUAGAGAUCUAGGAAUCUGACAGGUACUCAAGAUUUGAAUACUUUUUCAACAAAUAAAAUGAGGAAGAUUCACAAGCUUUCUUGUGCUGCAGCUAUAUGUAUGUACGUGUAACCAGUUACUGAGAUUGACAUAAAUACCUGGUAUGGCUGUGGUGAUGAAAACAGUAAAGAUUGGCAAUAAGUCACGAUUCCCUUUUAGAAGUAAGAUAAAUUCUACAUAACAUUCAAGCACAUCUGUCACCCCAACUAAUGAAAGCUGAUUUAAGUCAUUUAAUAGAAGCUGGAAUCCUUGAUAAUGACACUACUACUUUUCUUCCCAAGAUAAUUAUUAGCUGACCAAGAUGUUUCUUGGAUGUGAUGGUCUGCUGAAGAUAUAAACACUCAAACAUUUCUGCAAAUCAUCAAUACUUUAUUAUGCAGCUUCUGCAGUACUCACCCACUGAUGUUGCCAGGAACACUCAUAUCAAAUUAUUUACAAUAGUAAUGAAAACGGUACCACCAGAGACUUUGUGGAUGGCUCUCCCUGCAAUGUGUGACUCUUGAUUGGUGUUUCCAGAAAGCUAAAUUCAGUGCAGCUCUCUCAACUGCAUUCUGGCCUCUUGUGGAUUUUUCUUCUUGUCAGCUUUAAGUAGCAUUUUCAACAAUGAACUUCUGUUCUUCAGCUUAUCACUAGCCUUGAACUUACGAAUUUAGUUUCUGAAGGCAAAGCUUAGUGUGUUAGCCACAAUGACUCUGUUAAUUUAAAUGAUAUUAUGUUCAGGUACAGCUCUGUUUGCAGAAAGAAUAAGGGUGUGUAAUAGAGAUGGCAGUGAGAAAUUGAGGAAGCUGGCAAGACAAGUGCUGAUUUCUAAGCAAUGUUGUCUAUAGUCAUAGGUAAAUGCAGUUUUAUUUUCAAGUAGUGCAAUUUAAACAGAAAAUUUAAGAAAAACAACCCUCUCUGACCAUGAAGACAUGGAUGGUAACCCCUCUGACUUCAGUGCACUCUGUCCAUGAUUUGGUUUUAUGAGUUUUUCUCUCAUAAGGUGAUAACUCUGUGAGUAAGAGAUAGCGCCAACUGUUAGGAUUUUUCCUAGCAGGGAGAGAAAUGUGUAUAAUGGCAUGUCUUGCAUUGUGGUCUGUUGCUGAUGGUUUCAUUGGAAAUUUUUAUUGGAAAAAUGAUGUAGGGGAAAUAGAACUCCAGCAAACAGCUUGCCUAAUGCUUUCACUGUAAAGAAUAAAGAGAAGAAGUCUUUAACUGAUAAAAAUGUUUCUGAGCUCUCACAAAGUAUGUUUUGUUUGUAAUCUUAGGGUCUAGAAAGACCAGAUCUUUAAGCCUGGUACUUAACGCCCCCAGCCCCCAAAAAAUUGCCUUUCAGUCAAGGAUAGAUUUUUUUUUAUGAGCAG